AAGUCGUAACAAGGUUUCCGUAGGUGAACCUGCGGAAGGAUCAUUAAAUACAGUAGAUUUCUACUGAUCGGGGGGGUGGAAAGUCCCAGUUUAAUUACUGGAUCACGAGUAAGCCCCCUGUCUGCACCCUUGUCUUUUGCGUACUCAUGUUUCCUCGGCGGGCAAAUAGCUGCCGAAUGGACAAUUCUAAAACCUUUUUAAUUUUCAAUCAGCGUCUGAAUAAUUAUAAUAAUUACAA
rnacentral:misc_RNA from 1 species